rfam:Picea glauca, whole genome shotgun sequence.
GGGUGCGAUCAUACCAAUGUUAAUGCACCAGAUCCCAUCGGAACUCCGUAGUUAAGCAUGCUUGGGAUAGAAUAGUAUUGGGAUGGGUGACCUCCCUGGAAAUCCUAGUGCUACACCCU